AACAUAUAUAUUCUUUAGUGCUAAGUGAUUAAAUUUUUUCAUCACCUCUUACAACAGUUGACACCUCUUGAUAUUUUCUAAGUUGAAGGGUUAUGUUUUCUAUUCGGGUUUUACGUUAUACAGCAUGUUCGGUGAAGAUUAAAAGAACAAGAGAUGCAAACCUGUCAGCCUCUAGAGUGGAUCCUUAUUCUGCAAAGAACAAAGGUCCCAAGAGCAAUUGAGAGACGAUUUUGCAGCAAGAGCAUAUGAGAGGUUAUUUUCAUUUGAUGAGC